AUUGAACGCUGGCGGCAGGCCUAACACAUGCAAGUCGAACGGUAACAGGAAGCAGCUUGCUGCUUCGCUGACGAGUGGCGGACGGGUGAGUAAUGUCUGGGAAGCUGCCUGAUGGAGGGGGAUAACUACUGGAAACGGUAGCUAAUACCGCAUAAUGUCGCAAGACCAAAGAGGGGGACCUUCGGGCCUCUUGCCAUCGGAUGUGCCCAGAUGGGAUUAGCUUGUUGGUGGGGUAACGGCUCACCAAGGCGACGAUCCCUAGCUGGUCUGAGAGGAUGACCAGCCACACUGGAACUGAGACACGGUCCAGACUCCUACGGGAGGCAGCAGUGGGGAAUAUUGCACAAUGGGCGCAAGCCUGAUGCAGCAAUGCCGCGUGUAUGAAGAAGGCCUUCGGGUUGUAAAGUACUUUCAGCGGGGAGGAAGGGAGUAAAGUUAAUACCUUUGCUCAUUGACGUUACCCGCAGAAGAAGCACCGGCUAACUCCGUG
rnacentral:rRNA from 1 species